GAUGAACGCUGGCGGCGUGCCUAAUACAUGCAAGUCGAGCGAACAGACGAGGAGCUUGCUCCUCUGACGUUAGCGGCGGACGGGUGAGUAACACGUGGAUAACCUACCUAUAAGACUGGGAUAACUUCGGGAAACCGGAGCUAAUACCGGAUAAUAUAUUGAACCGCAUGGUUCAAUAGUGAAAGACGGUUUUGCUGUCACUUAUAGAUGGAUCCGCGCCGCAUUAGCUAGUUGGUAAGGUAACGGCUUACCAAGGCAACGAUGCGUAGCCGACCUGAGAGGGUGAUCGUCCACACUGGAACUGAGACACGGUCCCGACUCCUACGGGAGGCAGCAGUAGGGAAUCUUCCGCAAUGGGCGAAAGCCUGACGGAGCAACGCCGAGUGAGUGAUGAAGGUCUUCGGAUCGUAAAACUCUGUUAUUAGGGAAGAACAAAUGUGUAAGUAACUAUGCACGUCUUGACGGUACCUAAUCAGAAAGCCACGGCUAACUACGUG
rnacentral:rRNA from 1 species